rnacentral:lncRNA from 1 species
CCUAGUUCAGUUCCCAAUUUCAAAUAGUUCAGUUCCCCCCUUCAAAACAAAACAAAACAAAACAAAAAAAAAAGGGAAGGGGGAACACAGCAGCUUCAUCAAUGGGAUUCAACUUCCAAUCUCAAACAACUUCGCACUAUCUUCAUCAAGAUAGUGCGAAGCACAAUCAAUUUAUGGUGCCAACAAAAGCUUCAUCAAUGGAGGACAACUAUCUAUCUCAAAAGCUUCGCACUAUCUUCAUCAAGAUAGUGUGAAGCAAAAUCAAUUUAUGGUGCCAACAAAAGCUUCAUCAAUGGAGGACAAAUAUCAAUCUCAAAAGCUUCGCACUAUCUUCAUCAAGAUAGUGUGAAGCAAAAUCAAUUUAUGGUGCCAACAAAAACUUCAUCAAUAGAGGACAAAUAUCAAUCUUAAAAGCUUCGCACUAUCUUCAUCAAGAUAGUGUGAAGCAAAAUCAAUUUAUGGUGCCAACAAAAGCUUCAUCAAUGGAGGACACCUAUCUAUCUCAAAAGCUUCGCACUAUCUUCAUCAAGAUAGUGUGAAGCAAAAUCAAUUUAUGGUGCCAACAAAAGCUUCAUCAAUGGAGGACAAAUAUCAAUCUCAAAAGCUUCGCACUAUCUUCAUCAAGAUAGUGUGAAGCAAAAUCAAUUUAUGGUGCCAACAAAAGCUUCAUCAAUGGAGGACACCUAUCUAUCUCAAAAGCUUCGCACUAUCUUCAUCAAGAUAGUGUGAAGCAAAAUCAAUUUAUGGUGCCAACAAAAGCUUCAUCAAUAGAGGACAAAUAUCAAUCUCAAAAGCUUCGCACUAUCUUCAUCAAGAUAGUGUGAAGCAAAAUCAAUUUAUGGUACCAACAAAAGCUUCACCUAUAAAGCUUCAACCCCAAAGCUUCACCUAUAAAGCUUUAACACCAAAAGCUUCACCUAUAAAGCUUCAACCCUUCAACACCAAAGCUUCACCUAUAAAGCUUCAACCCCAAAGCUUCACCUAUAAAGCUUCAACACCAAAGCUUCACCUAUCAAGGUUGAACCCCAAAGCUUCACCUAUAAAGCUUCAAACACAAAGCUUCACCUAUAAAGCUUCAACACCAAAGCUUCACCUAUCAAGCUUCAACCCCAAAGCUUCACCUAUAAAGCUUCAAACACAAAGCUUCACCUAUAAAGCUUCAACACCAAAGCUUCACCUAUAAAGCUUCACCUAUCAAGCUUCAACCCCAAUGCUUCACCUACAAUACAAAAUUUCAACACCAAAACAUAUAAAAGCUUCGCACACUCUUCAUCAAGAUAGUGCGAAGCUAAUUCAAGUUUUGUAUCCUAAAAAUAGCCUCAACUAGUCACGCUAUAUACCCAAGCAAAAAAUCUAUAGUCAAUAAACCUUACCUAUUAAACUAUUUUCCAAACACAAAACCUUGUGAUAAAUAAACAAAUUUUGUUCAAAAAACCAAGAUUCCCUUAAACCUGUACAAAAACACGGGUCAACGCAAACAUUUGUUUUGUUCUACACCCACAACAUCCCUGUCAUAAACAAACAAGCAAUUAUGUAUAUGUUUCCAAACAUAUUAUAAUAAAUCAAACACCAAGCCAAAAUCCCAAGUUUAACUAGAAAUCCAACCCAAGCAACCUCUUUCCCUCUCUUCCUCUUCCGCCUCCUUUCAUCUAUCAAAUUUUUGCAACCUUUGCUCUUCUCCAGUGGAGCUGAAUUUUGGACACCCUAUAGUUCUUGAGCAGAUGAACAACUUUCAAGAAGGAAUCGUUUCUGUUUGAGCGACGGAAAUUAAAGUGUUGAGGCUCCAAACACGACAGUCGGAUUCCCGCAAAUUUAAAAGCUGCUGUGAUGUUUCGAAGAUCUGGAACUAUUUAACCGUUAGUUCAUUCUUAAUUUUUGAUAUGGCAUGAAAGAGACGAUAAGGAACAACUUCGAUGAAGAAAGUAUGUUGAUCUGAACAAGAGAAAAUGGAGUGUCGAAGCUCACAACAAGUCUGACAGGUUGACAGAAAAUUGAUGAACAGUUACUCAUCAUACCUGAAUUUCUGGAUUUGUACUGCUCCGAUGGAUCUCACAUUUGGAUAUGUUGUAGUUGACAAGGUGAGGAACAACUUCUAUGAAUACGACUUUG